rnacentral:rRNA from 1 species
UACGUAGGCAGCAAGCGUUGUUCGGAAUUACUGGGCGUAAAGAGUGUGUAGGCGGUGCUCUAAGUUCGGUGUGAAAUCUCCCGGCUUAACUGGGAGGGUGCGCCGGAAACUGGAGUGCUUGAGCGCGGGGGAGGAAAGCGGAAUUCCUGGUGUAGCGGUGAAAUGCGUAGAUAUCAGGAGGAACACCUGUGGUGUAGACGGCUUUCUGGACCGUAGCUGACGCUGAGACACGAAAGCGUGGGUAGCAAACAGG